rnacentral:rRNA from 1 species
AUUGAACGCUGGCGGCAGGCCUAACACAUGCAAGUCGAGCGGAUGAGGGGAGCUUGCUCCCUGAUUUAGCGGCGGACGGGUGAGUAAUGCCUAGGAAUCUGCCUGGUAGUGGGGGAUAACGUUCCGAAAGGAACGCUAAUACCGCAUACGUCCUACGGGAGAAAGCAGGGGACCUUCGGGCCUUGCGCUAUCAGAUGAGCCUAGGUCGGAUUAGCUAGUUGGUGAGGUAAUGGCUCACCAAGGCGACGAUCCGUAACCGGUCUGAGAGGAUGAUCAGUCACACUGGAACUGAGACACGGUCCAGACUCCUACGGGAGGCAGCAGUGGGGAAUAUUGGACAAUGGGCGAAAGCCUGAUCCAGCCAUGCCGCGUGUGUGAAGAAGGUCUUCGGAUUGUAAAGCACUUUAAGUUGGGAGGAAGGGCUGCUGGUUAAUACCCUGCAGUUUUGACGUUACCAACAGAAUAAGCACCGGCUAACUUCGUG